UUUUGCUUCAUUUGUUCAGCAGGUAUAAAUCAGGGGCAUCAACAGGUCAGGGCUUAUAGAAGCUGCUGAUGUAAGCUCACAGUUGAGGUAACCAUGUCUAUAGGAAAAGGUCAGAGCUUCUGCUAGCAGAGAUUUAUGGCUAGAGGGAAACAGCUUGGGAUGGUUUUAAUAAGGCCUCAGAAGAUGCUGUUUAAAAAGUUAGUGCCUGGCAAAUUGCAAGGGUCCAACUUGGCAGAUAUUCUAGGCACGUGUUGAAAGAAGAAAAAGGAUUGUCAUGUUUCCUGGAGUUACAGAUGCCUGUGUAGCGCCAGUAACUAAUCCUUUGUAGCAGU